UACAACAGUAGCCUGGGAAAGUUUGAGCUCUUUAUGUGUUUGCAGCUUUCACCCACUGCUCUGAACUGGAAUGAGGCUAGGUCAAAUGGGAAAAUGUUCAACACCAGUAAAGCAACUCCAGCCCAGCCUCUGUGGUCUGAGGAUCCUAGAAGCAGGAAUCUAUGUAGCAACCAGUGACUUCCUCCCUCCUUGGCAGGUCAAGGGCCACUGCUGUCUAGCUUGUGAAAUAAGCCAGAGCAGACUCACAACGAUCCAGGACAACUUUGAGGCUGUUUUUCCUGCUUGCAGUAGCAGUGUGAUCCCUGAACAGAAUUUCCACCAAGAGAGGCUCCCUUCUGUUCACUCUGUGAAGGCUGGGAAAUUCACCAUUUACCUCCAAACAUUCUAGACUAAAUUUCAA
rnacentral:lncRNA from 1 species